rnacentral:rRNA from 1 species
CAAAGCGAUUCCCUUAGUAGUGGCGAGCGAAAAGGGAGAAGCCCAGCGCAGAAUCUCCCGGGCUACCAAGCCCGCGGCGAAAUGUUGCGUAUAGGGAAAGGUCGAUUAUAGCCUCGUGCACCCGUCUGAUGUGCCUAAUCGUGUCCUGAAAUGUUCACGCAAGUUGGGUAUUAAUCUUUCGGGGUUACAACUCAAUACACGGUACCAUGGAGGGUGCAAGCCCCGUAUGGCCGCGUGAGUGUGUACGAAGGCUAGACCUCUCUUCCCUGAGAGUCGCGUUGCUUGAACAUGCAGCGCUAAGCAGGAGGUAAACUCCUCCUAAGGCUAAAUAUAUCCACAGAACCGAUAGCGAACAAGUACCGUGAGGGAAAGUUGAAAAGCACUCUGGAGAGAGGGUGACAAGACCGUGAGACCGUUCAGGGCAAAAGCCGAUGUCGAGUAUCCUAGUUGCGCUGGGACCAGGUUUCGGCCUGAAGCGAUUCUUCAUUUGUUGUUCGGAGUUAAGCUGUUUCGGUAGCUCUUCGACAAUGGAUGUGUAAGGUGAAUCGCUUAGCGUCCAUUAACAGCCCGCCGUGACUCUUGCGAGGUCAAUCGUGGUAGUCGUGGUAUGAUGCGAGUUACUUCCUUAAGGGUUGAGACUGUCGGAGGUCGUGUAUUGCGAGUCGCAUCUAGUAACGUCUUUGCGGGCGUGAAUGGUGUUCGCAGUGCGCGUCGGUACGUUGUGCCUCCAAAGUUGAUUCCUGGUUGUGGCUCGUCUUAUCCGCUGCCAAUGCGAUUUCGAUCCUCCGCGAGAAGUUAUGAAGACUCUGUUCGUGCGUUCGAAUGAUUGACUUAAGAGCGGCGCAAGCUUAUCUCGGUCUUUCUGUGGACGCUCGUUCGUGUCGGCGGUACGCCUAGGUGACAUCGGUCACGUCUCGAAACACGGGCCAAGGAGCAUAGCGUAAAGCCAAGUCCGACGGUUUCUCGAAACCUCGUGGCGAUAGUGAAAGCGAUCGUGCGGGUGUUUAUCACCCGUGGGAGUGAGAGCCUAGAGUUCCGGGCAACCGAGAUUCGAAGCUCUCGCCGCCUUCUAGUCAGGGCUGAUCCUCGAGUUCUUUACGGAACGAUGAGGCGCAAGCCCCGGGCCCGUUCGUAGUACGGCGUCUCGACUUCGGUCUUGGCGUUGUCAGAGCGGGCACCGAGUAGGCUUUACGCUAUGACCCGAAAGAUAGUGAACUAUGCUUGGCGAAGACGAAGCCCCAGGAAACUGUGGUGGAAGUCUGUAGCCGUUUUGACGUGCAAAUCAAUGGUGUCAGCUGAGCAUAGGGGCGAAAGACCAAUCGAACUAUCUAGUAGCUGGUUCCAUUCGAAGUUUCUCUCAGGAUAGCUUGCGUGCGUUCAGCGCUGAAGUCUGAGCUCUCGUAUACGAAAGCGUACGAGUUGGUUCGUCCCAAGUGUGGCAGAGUACUAGAGAGUUGGAGCGAGAAUUCCUCACUCGUUUCUCCCACGUCGGGGUAGCCUAUCACUUUAACCGUGUGCAGUUACGUCCGGUAAAGAGAAUGAGUAGAGUUAGCUCGCUGCUCCUAGAGCUGCGGCAGCGGGGCGUUCUACGCCUCGCACUACUUAUCAAACUUUAAAUGGGCGAGGUGCUCGGCAUUGUCUUAAUUGAUUGAUGCUGGGACGAAAUACGUCUUGACCGUGUACGUCGAGUCGAAGGUGAAUGCGUGCGCGCAAAGUGGGUCCGUUCUGGUAAGCAGAACUGAUAAUGAGGGAUGAACCUAACGCACGUGCUAAGGGGCCAAAAUGACAGCUUUUUCUCGAAACCAUUGGAAAGGUGUUGCUUGCUGAAGACAGCAGGACGGUGGUCAUGGAAGUCGAUAUCCGCUAAGGAGUGUGUAACUACUCAUCCUGCCGAAGCGAGUAACCCUGAAAAUGGAUGGCUCUAUAGCUCUCUCCCGAUGCACGGCCGUCAGUGGCACUAAGAGGCAUACCCGUGUCUCUAAGCCCUGACGAGUAGAAUGGUGUGCUGCAUUGCUGCGACGACCUUCGCGUGAGCGUGGUCUGAGCGUGUAGCAGUACAGAUCUUGGUGGUAGUAGCAAGUACUCUGGUGAAUAACCUUGAGCUGUGAGGCUGAUAAGGGUUCCAUGUCAACAGCGUUUGUACAUGGGUAAGUCGCUCCUAAGGCCCCAUUAUCCGUAAUGGUGAUUGCGUACGCGCAUGAGAGAGUGAGGUUGAUGUGAUUCGGAUGGAUGACUUUGGUGAGCAAAUUUAGUCGAAGGAAUUGCUAACUAUACGGUUCUUUGCGAACGCGCACGAGUUGAAAGUGUGUUUGUUGUCGAGACUAACUACGAGUCGUUGUUGAUGUUUAUAUAUGCACGGAAGAAGCUCUCUCGCGUGUGUUGUCUGAUGGUUACGUGUCGGAAAGUUAGACGCUAAUGUUGUAACAUACAAAGGCUGCUAUCGAGUACGAAUGUGCACGAGCUGUUAAGAGGCAACACGCGCUAAGGGUCGAUUCUGAUGCGAAGAUAAACUAGACGACAAGUUACAAGUCGAGACUAUGAUAUGCGAUCGACGAGUGUGAUUGCGCGAGGGGCCAUUGUAUAGGGUGCGCCCUUCUUCUCUAGUGUUCAGGGUCUAAAUCCGAAUUGUCAACCGCUUAGCGCUUUUCUCUUGCGUCGCUUGCCGAAAGGGAACUGCGGACUCAGUUCGUAGACCACACCUGGUACCCUGAAACGGUCUGCCGUAUCACGGACCUAGCAAUAGUUGCCAGGCCAGUCGUUGUCAUAGGUAGCUCGGCGGGGAGAUUUCUUCUCUCUUUGAUAAGGCGUUAUUACCCUGAAAACACCUCGCGUGGCGGAAGGGUAAUGCCUUGUUUUAGCAGAAUACUCAUCUCCCUCGAGUAGUCCGACGCUAUCUGUGAUCCGUGAAAAGGUGGUCGAGGGGUAUUCCCGAGUGAUGCGCGAGUUUGUCGUUUUAGCCGAUCUCUACCCCUUCGGGGUGGAGAGUUUGUUGUUGGCCGAAAUGAUGGACGAGCGUGUCUCUCGGACACUUUACACGAGUGUUAACCAGGGCGUGUGCGUACCCAUAUCCGCAUCCGGUCUCAAA